rnacentral:rRNA from 1 species
UGCAGUCGACGAACUUCCGUUAAUUGAUUAUGACGUACUUGUACUGAUUGAGAUUUUAACACGAAGUGAGUGGCGAACGGGUGAGUAACACGUGGGUAACCUGCCCAGAAGUAGGGGAUAACACCUGGAAACAGAUGCUAAUACCGUAUAACAGAGAAAACCGCAUGGUUUUCUUUUAAAAGAUGGCUCUGCUAUCACUUCUGGAUGGACCCGCGGCGUAUUAGCUAGUUGGUGAGGUAAAGGCUCACCAAGGCAGUGAUACGUAGCCGACCUGAGAGGGUAAUCGGCCACAUUGGGACUGAGACACGGCCCAGACUCCUACGGGAGGCAGCAGUAGGGAAUCUUCCACAAUGGACGCAAGUCUGAUGGAGCAACGCCGCGUGAGUGAAGAAGGGUUUCGGCUCGUAAAGCUCUGUUGUUAAAGAAGAACGUGGGUAAGAGUAACUGUUUACCCAGUGACGGUAUUUAACCAGAAAGCCACGGCUAACUACGUGCCAGCAGCCGCGGUAAUACGUAGGUGGCAAGCGUUAUCCGGAUUUAUUGGGCGUAAAGCGAGCGCAGGCGGUCUUUUAAGUCUAAUGUGAAAGCCUUCGGCUCAACCGAAGAAGUGCAUUGGAAACUGGGAGACUUGAGUGCAGAAGAGGACAGUGGAACUCCAUGUGUAGCGGUGAAAUGCGUAGAUAUAUGGAAGAACACCAGUGGCGAAGGCGGCUGUCUGGUCUGCAACUGACGCUGA